rnacentral:rRNA from 1 species
UAGGGAAUCUUCCGCAAUGGACGAAAGUCUGACGGAGCAACGCCGCGUGAGUGAAGAAGGCUUUCGGGUCGUAAAACUCUGUUGUUAGGGAAGAAAAAAUGUAUAGUAACUAUAUACAAAAGAGACGGUACCUAACCAGAAAGCCACGGCUAACUACGUGCCAGCAGCCGCGGUAAUACGUAGGUGGCAAGCGUUGUCCGGAAUUAUUGGGCGUAAAGCGCGCGCAGGUGGUUUAGAAAGUCUGAUGUGAAAGCCCACGGCUCAACCGUGGAGGGUCAUUGGAAACUAAUAAACUAGAGUGCAGGAGAGAAAAGUGGAAUUCCUAGUGUAGCGGUGAAAUGCGUAGAGAUUAGGAGGAACACCGGUGGCGAAAGCGGCUUUUUGGCCUGCAACUGACACUGAGGCGCGAAAGCGUGGGGAGCAAACAGG